rnacentral:rRNA from 1 species
UACAGAGGGGGCGAGCGUUGUUCGGAAUUACUGGGCGUAAAGCGCGCGUAGGCGGCUUUGUAAGUCGGGUGUGAAAUCCCCAGGCUUAACCUGGGAACUGCAUUCGAGACUGCAUUGCUAGAGUAUGGGAGAGGGAAGUGGAAUUUCCGGUGUAGCGGUGAAAUGCGUAGAUAUCGGAAGGAACAUCAGUGGCGAAAGCGACUUCCUGGACCAAUACUGACGCUGAUGUGCGAAAGCGUGGGGAGCGAACAGG